rnacentral:ncRNA from 1 species
UUAGCUAUUUUAGAUAGAUUUGUAUUUAUGAGAUAUAUAAAAUCAUCAUAGAUACAAAUCUUAAAAAUUUGUAUCUAUGAUGGCUAGAAUUAAUUUGUCAUGUAAAGCCACAUGGAUAAUUACUAUGUGGCUUUUAUUAAUCCUAGGCCUAAAGCCACAUAGUGUAUGCUAUGUGGCUUUUUAUAUAUUAAAAUUUAAA